CAGGUGCUAUCUGAGAGGAGGAUGUGGCUGGCCACUUGCUCACAGACACCCACUUGUUUCAGGCGCGCAACCUUGAACUCAGACAACCUUUACAAGUCCCGAUGAAGAAGGCAGAGUAUGAAGCUCCAGGCCUAGCCAGCUCUGGAGGUCAGAUAUCUGAAAGGGAUCUUUCUGGGCUCAAGUCAAGGUGACAGCAAGGCUCUGCUCCUUCCAGAGGCCCCAGAGAAGAAUCUAGGUCUUUGUCUUUCCAGGCUUUUCAAGGCCACCCACAGCCACUCCCGUCCAUCUUCACAGCUAGCACAACCAGCAGAGUCUUUCUCAUGUCACAUCAGUCCUUGGAGUCUAUCUUCCACAUUUAACGGACCAGAGAUGACAUCCCCCACCACAGACAAUUCAGGAUCAUCUCUAAUUAUUCACUUAAUCUCAUUUGCAAAGCCCAUUUUGCCAGUAUUAGGACUUGGACCUCUUCAGGGAGCUAUGACUCAGCUUACCAUGUUGGGUGACUUUGGACAAAUCAAGUAAGAUGCAGACCCUCGGUGUCUUCGAUGACAUACUGCAAAUGGUCACAGGGAUUUAAAAGCCACAGGGAUGCUUGGAGCUCUACCUGCCAUCCACAGCAGUGUCCUCCCCUCCUUUGGCUUCCUGAGGAUGGACAGGGAGCAGCUUGCAGCAGGACAAAGCCUGCUCGUGUUACCUGCCAAGGCAUUGGCUGAGACAGAAAUCAUCAGAGUUCCCUGUGGACACUGAUCGGGAAACUGAAGGAGUAAGAAACUCUGGGAGCUGAGCAGAGGACCCCGGUCAACCUAGGGCUCACCUGAGUCAGCCCAGCUCCGUCUGGCAAGGAGGCAGCCAGGUCCUGUGGGGCAUGCUCCAGAACUGGCCUCCGAGACAUGGCAUCCCACACUGGACACCUCCCCAGCCCACCCAGGGUCUACAAUCCAAGCAUUGCAAAGCUUUGGUGGGGUACCCUCGGUCACAAUACAGUAGGACAAGUGUCUUGUGCAGAGGGGUGGCCUUUUACCCACCCCAGAAAGGCACCAAUGGUGAGCCGCGCACUGUGUCAGCCCUGGGACACAGAGGGGACGAACCCUACUCUGUCCCUGUGCUAACUGCCCUUGGCCAGGGAGGCAGACCCAAACACGUCAACAACCAACAAUAAAUAAUUACAAAUUGGGCUAAGUGCUCUGAAGACAGGAAAGUGUAAUUAGCCUGUGCUUCCUCCCCCAGCCCUCGAGGCUGCCCUCAUUACAGAGCAGCAGCCGCCUGAGCUCCGCAGCAUGCUUCGUGGUCAAGUGCCUGGCAUAGCAAGGGCGGAUGACAAUGGUCUGAGGAACAUUUAUUAAAUGAAACUGGAAAAAAAAAUGAUCGUCCAAUAAAACCUAAUUGUACAGACCCUUGAGAUUCAGAGAGGCCCAGCGUUUGACUCCAAACCACACAACUCUGAUGAGUGACAGAAACCCAGAGAGAAACCAGGAGAAAUGAGGUCUCCUAACCGAAGGUCCAGGGUUCCUGCCACCAUCCCCUGCCGUCCCUCAAUCUUGAACCAGAUCCCAAGCUCCAGUAGUCUGUAGCCUCCCAGCCAUCUCAGUUGCCUGCUUUUCAG